AGGUAUGGUUAAAAAAUGGUUUUAUCUCUUAGAUAAAAUCCAUCAUGCACUUGCCCGACAAAUAUAUUUGAUACAUUUCACACAUUUACUCUAGUUUCGGGAUGGCAACAGUCCAUACUACAACAUUGAUUUGAAGGUGAUACAUGUUGCGGGGAAGCCUCUACCUCUUAACCCAAAGGUAUUUGAUGGGAAACAUGGAACUGUUCUGGACAGUGGUACAACAUAUGCUUACCUGCCAGAAGCAGCAUUUCUGGCAUUUAAGGAUGCGGUAAGAUGCUGAUUCUCUAACUUUCAUCAUUGAUUGCAGUCACUAGACUCAUUUGUCCUCGUGCAAAAUUGCAUGAUGAGGUUCAAGGGCUUGAAUAUUUUGAGUUCUUUCUAAAAGGUAUUUGAUGGGAAACAUGGUAUUUGAUGGGAAACAUGGAACUGUUCUGGACAGUGGUACAACAUAUGCUUACCUGCCAGAAGCAGCAUUUCUGGCAUUUAAGGAUGCGGUAAGAUGCUGAUUCUCUAACUUUCAUCAUUGAUUGCAGUCACUAGACUCAUUUGUCCUCGUGCAAAAUUGCAUGAUGAGGUUCAAGGGCUUGAAUAUUUUGAGUUCUUUCUAAAACAUGUUAACGGAGGGGCUUAGUUUGACUGAUAUCUAUCUUUACUGUUUACUGAUGGUCUGAGUUGUUAUUGUCAUUGUAGCUAUUGACUUGCAGUCUGAUAUUUUAGAGACUGUGAUUAUUGUCUUCUCUC
rnacentral:lncRNA from 1 species